rnacentral:lncRNA from 1 species
GGCAGAGGAGGCAACAGAAGGCUCUGACAAGCCUGAUGGCUGAGUAUCCAAGCCUCUUCUGGGUGUUUUCACCAGCACCGGCACCGGCACCGGUACCAGCACCAAACCUGGCAGCUCCAAGGUAAUGGUGCUGUUCUGCACCGCCUGGCUUUCUCAGCCCCUAACUAUACCCCGUAAUGCCCUGGUUCUACCACAAGGGACCCCACACAUUUACACUUUUACAGCUACCUACCCACGGGCUUACCCUGCUCAGCUUUUGCACCUAGUAAGGAGGAGGGUAGGAAACCAGGUUUAUUGCAGCUUUUCUAGCUGCAGGCUGGUCCUCAAUCUCAGGCUCUUCCUUCACAGUGAAGCCUGAAUGAAUGACAGGGCUCUGCCAGCCUCCAAAUUCCCUCGGAAGAUCUCUCCUCUCUUUUAGAGGCCCCGGCUGGAGUCCAAGCUAAGGAUAGGAGCUUCCCUCCUCUCCCAUUCUCAGAUCAGCGGACUCUAGGGAGUUCCUAAGUGACGUCUGAUGGGAUAGCCGGUCCAGGAUUGGUGAAGUAGAAACCCCUAGAUCCACCGGAUUCUAGGAAGGGAGAAGUCUCACCCCUCUCCAAUGUGGGUCCCGUGUCCUAAUAAACUGGGCACACAGUCUCGCUUCUUACCCCACUCACUCUUCACAGCCUCCAGACCAGGUGCCAGAUCUGUCAGCUCUCGCUAAAAAAAAGAAAAAGAAAAAAACAAAAAACGUUUUCAAAUCCUGUUGCCGAUAUAGGGAGGGCACUG